GUACCAAUACAUUAGUGGGGGGUUAUCAUUCUGCACAUAGGGGGAGUAGCAAUAAUGGCAGCUCUCAAAACAGUGGGGAUCCUGUAGAAAGUGAUUGGCUGCAAGGUUGCCAUGUAAAUCUUGCUAAGCUGAAUUGGACCCUAGCAACUAGAUGACAGUUAAGAUUCAAAACUGGAGAGCAGAGCCAUUAAGGGCAAAAUCAUUACAAAAUCAACUCCAGGUACAGAAAGAAAUGAGAAUAUGAAUGUAUUAAAUGAAGAAUCUGGUACCAAAUGCCAAAUGAAUCACUGGGAUAUUAGAAUUGCAGUAAAGAUGAAUAAAGCAAUUUAUAAUAA